GAGAGAGACAUGCGCGCAUAUCAAUAAGCGGAGGAAAAGAAACUAACAAGGAUUCCCUUAGUAACGGCGAGUGAAGCGGGAAGAGCUCAAAUUUGAAAUCUUCAAGGUUUUACCUUGACGAAUUGCUAGUUUAAAGAAGUGUUUUCUGCUGAAGUUUUGGUAAAAGUUCUUUGGAAUAGGACAUCAUAGAGGGUGAGAAUCCCGUAUUUGACCAUUAUUUUCAGCUUUGUGAUACACUUUCAAAGAGUCGGAUUGUUUGGGAAUGCAGUCCAAAAUGGGUGGUAAAUUUCAUCUAAAGCUAAAUAUUGGCGAGAGACCGAUAGCGAACAAGUACCGUGAGGGAAAGAUGAAAAGAACUUUGAAAAGAGAGUUAAACAGUACGUGAAAUUGUCAAAAGGGAAGCGUUUGACACCAGUGUUGUUUUCCUCGAAAAUCAAUUAAAAAUGGCUCGAUUUUGUAUUGUUGAGACCUUAAAAGCUCACUGUACAUUUUUCGUGUCUUUUUUAAUGCACUUUUCGUUUAACAAGUCAACAUCAGUUUCUUUUGUUGUAAAAGGGUCAUUGGAAGGUGGCUUUCUUUUCGGAGAAAGUGUUUAUAGCCUUUGGCCUCUGCAAUCGGAAGAGACUGAGGUCUGCAGCGUAGACUCUUCGGGGUUAGAUACAUUUGUGCUAAGUUAUAGCUUUUUAUAGACAACUUGUUGACUAUAAUUAGUCUUGUAGCUUACUCGCUUAUGCUAUUUUACCUACGCUUAGGAUGUUGAGUCGUAGAGCACGCAG
rnacentral:rRNA from 1 species